rnacentral:lncRNA from 1 species
GUUCAUGGUGGUUGGGGUAUUGAUGACAAUGACAAUCUUGUAAUUAUUUGAAGAUAAUGAGGGUGAGAGAAUAAAAAUAUCAUUUUCGGAAAAAAAAUAAAAAAAAAUUGAUGGCAUUUUCGUGAAUUAUAUGAGCUUGUGGGGUGAAUAGAACAAAAGAAAAUCCAAAAAAAAUAUGAGUUAAUUUUAGGUUUUACUUUGAGUUUUGAGUCAAUCUUUCAAAAAAAAAACCCUUCAUAUUAUAAUGAAUAGAUUGUCGGAGAAGUAUGAGAAGUAUAAGUGGAGUAAUGCUCUAAGUUUCUUCCGAUAAGUUACGGUGUCUCCUUGAUUCAAAGCCUCCAAGCCCAAUAGAAUCUAUUCCAAAUUUCCAAUAUUGAAAUUCAAAUAUCUUCAGUUUUUAUCAGAAGUCUUUUUGAAUCUUGGACUUGUCGAGUUCUCUAUUCUCAUGUUUCAUGUGUUUUGUUCUUAAUUUAUUUCAAAUGAUUUUGU